UGGCAACGAAGCCCUCAAUACGUGAAGCUCUGGGGGGCAUUUCAUAUCAAACUAUAACAGCAGCUAAGAGGCCUGCCACCUUAUUUUCAAACUUAGUCCUCUUGGCCUGGUGCCCCAAGAGGCCCUUCUGAGCUGUGCCUCUCUGUAAUUCUCAGCUAGCCAGGGAGCCAGCCUCAGUGGGAGUGGUACUGGAGAUUGAAUCUUAGCUCUGUGCAUGCUAAGCACACGAUCUGCCUGUGAACUGCACUCUCCACCCUUCUUAUGUCACACCCCACACACUGCCUGUCAUGAAGAACAGCCCCCACUGCCAGCUGGUCCACUUCAGUCUGCUUUCCUCACUGAUCCUCGUGAGAUACAAAACACCAGCAAAGCCACUGGAUAGCAUCAGAGCUUGAAAUCUCUGCCCUCUGCCGUCUCCCCAAGCCAUCGCCUGGAUGCCUCUUUCUGAAGGAGCCGCAGGUGGCUGAGACUCACAAUGUGCUGCUGCAGAUCAAGGCAAUGUGGACACAUAGUUCCUAGAGCUCCUUUGUACAGCCUUCAUAUUUGUGGGGAGGAAAGUAAAUAACAAGUUUCCUCCAAUAAAUCCGAUGUA